GAGAUGACAGCACACAAACUACUACAGGAGGGAAGCUGCGGUGUCUGCCCAGCAUGCUUUCUCUCUUCCUCCAUGCUUCAGGUGAAUUUCAAAUCUAAGAAGAAAAUUCCAUGCCAGGUUUCCAAAGUUUCAACACCACGAGAUUCAUCUCAUCGUGUGUGAGCACUUUUCAGUUCCAGGAAAAAAAAUCAUGGGCCAAAGGAAGAAAGAAGAAAAUUAUGUUGAGCAAAAUGUUUAUGGAGAAUUACUUAGGUUUUCAAAUUGAAGUUGACACUUUUGAAUUUUGAAGUUUGGAGUUUUGUUUUAUUUAAAUUAGGAUCUCUAAAAUUUUAUGAGAACAACUGAUGUCAGGAGCCUGUCCUGAAUGAAAAAAGACUGGGAAAAAGGUGAAAAUAGAAUAAUGGAGAAGCUUCAGCAAAUGUCUCCAUUCCAGAGCAACAUCUUUUCUGCUUUGAAAAUAAGUCUUUGCAGGUGUGUUUCCCAUCUUCCUUUCUUGCUCCAGGAAAAAUGUUUAUCAUUUUCUGAAUUUACCAGCAAUUGGUGUGUGCUGAGGGCUCAUUUAUUUCUUACAAAAUGUCGCUAACUCACUCCUGUCUUCUUAAA